rnacentral:rRNA from 1 species
UACGGAGGGAGCAAGCGUUGUUCGGAUUUACUGGGCGUAAAGGGCGCGUAGGCGGUCGUGACAAGUCACUUGUGAAAUCUCCGAGCUUAACUCGGAAAGGUCAACUGAUACUGUGCGGCUAGAGUGCGGAAGGGGCAACUGGAAUUCUUGGUGUAGCGGUGAAAUGCGUAGAUAUCAAGAGGAACACCUGCGGCGAAGGCGGGUUGCUGGGCCGACACUGACGCUGAUGCGCGAAAGCCAGGGGAGCGAACGGG